CCUACGGGAGGCAGCAGUGAGGAAUAUUGGUCAAUGGACGAGAGUCUGAACCAGCCAAGUAGCGUGAAGGAUGACUGCCCUAUGGGUUGUAGACUUCUUUUAUAAAGGAAUAAAACGAGGCACGUGUGCCUUUUUGCAUGUACUUUAUGAAUAAGGAUCGGCUAACUCCGUGCCAGCAGCCGCGGUAAUACGGAGGAUCCGAGCGUUAUCCGGAUUUAUUGGGUUUAAAGGGUGCGUAGAUGGGUUGUUAAGUUAGUUGUGAAAGUUUGCGGCGCAACCGUAAAAUUGCAAUUGAUACUGGCAGGCUAGAGUACAGUUGAGGGAGGCGGAAUUCGUGGUGUAGCGGUGAAAUGCUUAGAUAUCACGAAGAACCCCGAUUGCGAAGGCAGCUUACUAAACUGUGACUGACAUUGAUGCUCGAAAGUGUGGGGAGCAAACAGGAUUAGAUACCCCAGUAGUC
rnacentral:rRNA from 1 species